UUCCCUAAUAACAAAUAAACUUACGUUUCAGCAGAACACAGCAGCAGCUAGUAACGAGGGCAGCAGUGAAACAGACUCAGAAGAUGUAAGAAGUGACACAGCAGCAGCUAGUAACGAGGGCAGCAG